UCUAUUUAAUUCUGGUUGUUAAAGGGGUUAUAAUUAAAUUUUCACAUAAAGUUUGUUUAGUACUGUUAAUCUGAUCGAUAGGCUUUGUUUAUUAGUGAAGAGUUCUCGGUUAAUGGGGUGACCCAGUUCGGGUUAAUUAUAUGUUAAGUGGUGAAGGCACAGUGCCAGCAUCCGCGGUUAUUCUGUUUGCUUAACUCUUUGAUUUGGUUGAAAGGCUUUAAUAGUUAUGUCUUAAUAGACGGUAGAAUGGUUUUGAGAAUAAUAAUCUCUAUUAAAAUUUUUGUGUUCUUGUGAUAAUAAGAGGAUUAGAUACCCUCAUAUUAAGUUGGAAGUUUUUUCCUUGGUUUAAACUAAAAGAAUUUGGCAGCCGAUGAGGUUCGUCCGGGGGAGGGUGCUUUUUAAACAGAUAGUCCGCUUAUGAUUUUACCUUCGAUAAAUAAGUUAGUGUAUAUCCGAUUUAAUAUUUGUGGCGUGUGUCAGUAAUAAGUGCAAAUUAGUAAUUUAAGUCAGGUCGUUGUGCUACUUAUGCGAAGGGUAAUUGUGCGCUACAUUUUAAAAUUAUUGUUUGAAAAAUAAUUAAUUAUUUAGGACUCGGAAGUAGGAGUGUUUGAGUGGGAUACUUCGAAGAAGAUUUAAUCGGGGUACACAUCGCCCGUCAAUCCCGGCGUUAGCCGGGGUAAGUCGUAACAUGGUAACGUUGGGGGAACCGGACGUUAGUUAUUCUCUUAAAUAUUGGUGAGGGGGUU
rnacentral:ncRNA from 1 species